rnacentral:lncRNA from 10 species
UCCAGCCCAACCCUCGUCCUUAUGAGGCUUGCAGGGAUGACCCGUUUCCCUAAGGUCACCCAGCUGUGUGAGACACAGCUGGAAUUUAGACUAGGGUCUCUUUAGUCAGCCAAAGGUUGCAAAACUUUUCUACUUCUUUCUUAAUGGCUAGAAAUUGGUGAUCAGAAAUAACAAAUACAUGUCAAAGAUGUUGAAUUGUAUAGCAUUUUGGGUUUCAAACAGAUAUGAUACAAAGGUUCAAUUAUGGCAAGGCUUCAAAGUUAAACUGUUCCUGAAAACAGUGACAAAGAGGGUCCAGGAAUGGGAAGGGAAAUGUGGUAUUAUGUUAAUGUUUAUGUUUGGCUGCAGUUCACCAAAAAUGGCUAAUUUUGUAUUUUUAGUAGUGACGGGGUUUCUCCAUGUUGGUCAGGCUAGUCUUGAACUUCCUAACUCAGGUGCUUUUCCAUCACAAAAGGAGCCCAUAUUGUCUCUCUUUUUGUAAUCUUAGCAGCUACUGAUGCUCCAUUUGACAUGUCUUCACUGGUCUGCUCAGUAAGUCGUGUGUGUAGGCAUACUCCCGAAAGUGGUUCUGAGCUGUGCGGGCAGUCUGUCUGGUUCCUCGUACUAAUCUACGGUAUCCCUUGUCCUUCUGGAAUGCGCCCAAGAUCUUUUGUCUAUUUGGUAAAGCACAAUAUUUGUUUCUCAAGCUCUGUGUUGUUUGUUUUUGGAGAUUGGAAUGAACAGGCUGGAAUUCUGUGGCUGUAGUGGAGUCCUUCAGCACCAUAAAUUCAUAAAGCUGACCCCAAGAGACCUGAGAGCCAGUGCUUCCUGUUAGCUUUGGUGGAGACUAGGGAGAGGUGGCAACAGCCCUGCAGGGAGCCAAGAGGGGAAGAAAAGGUAGGCGAGGGCCUACCUCCCUGUUUCAGGGAGCGGGCAAGGAGUGCCGAAGAUGAGAAAGGGCUGGGGACUGUGCUUGCAGUAGAGUGGACAAGUUCCUCCUUGGGGACCGUGUAAGGACAGCAGCUCUGGAGUGCCCCCUGCCUUCCGCCUUGACCUCCCAAAGUGCUGGGAUUACAGGUGUGAGCCACUGGAGGAUAGAGGCCUCUGUCCUCCAUAAGCCCAGGAAGCAAAGGGCAGGCUAGCUCCCAUAGAUCAUGCCCAGAUGAGUCUUGGGGUGUCAGAGCCUAGAGGCCUCAUCAGGGACCAUCCCCUGCUUUAAAUCGGUCUUUCAUGUGGCAGGGUUGACCAGCAGGGCAUGGGCACAUUCAUCAAUAUUUGCUAGAGCGGCGGGGCCAUUGUGGCACACGCACAACACCAGGUUCACAGGCACAAAUCAUGUGAAAGCAAAUUCAUCUUUCUUCUGACGGGGCCACUAGACUGGUAGGUCAAGGAAAUGCUGGAGCCACAGUGGUUGCAUCUGGCACAGUCUCUCGUGAUGAUAUCCUUGUGUACAAAAUAAAGGCAUGUGGGCCAGAGGUGGUUGGGGUGGCCGUUCCCUGGCAGGUCCAGGGAAUACACCCAACAAAGGCUGGUCUAAGCCAUGGCCAGCAGCGGCUUUCACAGACACUUCUGGUGCUGAGCUGCGAGCCUUAACUGUGUCCUGCUCAGUGGUAAACCACACGUUUUGAAGGACAGUCAGGAUCAGGAGCCGAAAGGGCCUCACAGCACAGGUUAGAAGAAAAGGCUGAACAAGACAGAAGGCCAUUUUAUUUUCUAAUUUUUAUUUAUUUUUCAUUGUAUAUUUUUAAGGCAUGCAACAUGAUGUUUUGAUAUAUGUAUGCAUAGUGAAGUGAAUGCCACAGUCCAGCCAGUUAACAUAUCUGCUAUCUCAUGUCAUCACCGUCUUUUGCAAUAAAAGUGCCUAAAAUUGACUCUCUUGCCAAAUAUCCAGAGUAUAAAAUACAAUAUUCUUAUCUAUUAAUGUCUACAAUAUUAUUAUCAUAUUGUAUUAGAAUGACAUUUUAAAAGGUUAAAUAAAAAGGCUCUUCACUUGGGCUCAAAGAAUUAACUGCACUAGUACCCCAAGGGUGCCAUGGCGCUUAGUAGCAGUGAGGAUGACGAGAAUCCAGGGCUUAGGGCAGGAGGUGGUUUUCAUAUGUUUGUUCCGUCCAUCUUUGGCUACAUUAUGGUGGAAUAUUUCCUAGAAUGCUGCACUGCCUCGCCUUCUCUGGGCUAGGGUAACCACUUUUGGAGUACUGGCAUUCAGUUUUAGGCAUCAUAUUUAAGAAGACAAAGACAGAAUAGACCCAAAGCACAGGGACCAGAUUGCAAAAGGCCCUGACACUGCCUCCAGAAGAAUGACAGAGAACCUAGAGGGUUCACAGCUACUAUCGACUCUGAGGACCAAGGAAAACAGGGCAAAGCUUGUGUUGUAAGACUACAAGGGCAGAAGUGGGGUGGAAACUAAGAAAUUCUCCAGCAUUCAGAGCUGUCCAAGGCAGGAUGGGCUGU